rnacentral:rRNA from 1 species
ACUCAAAUGAAUUGACGGGGGCCCGCACAAGCAGCGGAGCAUGUGGUUUAAUUCGAAGCAACGCGAAGAACCUUACCUAGACUUGACAUCUCCUGAAUACUCUAGAGAUAGAGGAAGCCCUUCGGGGCAGGAAGACAGGUGGUGCAUGGUUGUCGUCAGCUCGUGUCGUGAGAUGUUGGGUUAAGUCCCGCAACGAGCGCAACCCUUAUCAUUAGUUGCUACCAUUAAGUUGAGCACUCUAGUGAGACUGCCAGAGUUAAUCUGGAGGAAGGUGGGGAUGACGUCAAAUCAUCAUGCCCCUUAUGUCUAGGGCUACACACGUGCUACAAUGGGCAGUACAAUGAGAUGCAAACUCGUGAGAGUGAGCAAAACUAUAAAACUGCUCCCAGUUCGGAUUGUAGGCUGCAACUCGCCUACAUGAAGCCGGAGUUGCUAGUAAUCGCGAAUCAGAAUGUCGCGGUGAAUACGUUCCCGGGCCUUGUACACACCGCCCGU